rnacentral:lncRNA from 1 species
AAGUGUGUGUGUGUGUGCGCGCGCGCGUUGGUACUGAACUUAUAGGCAGUUGUGAGCUACCAUGAUGUGGGUGCUGAUAAUGGAGUUUACAUUCUCUGCAAGUUUUAUGUGUUUUUAACUGAUGAGCCAUUUCUGUAUUCCCCCCUCCUUACUCUUACAUUUGUUUUCCUAUUUUAUGUGUUUUGUCUGCAUGUUUAUGGACUACAUGCGUGCAUUGCCCACAAAGGCCAGAAGAAGUUGUGGGAUUCCCUGGAACUGGAGCAACCAACAGUUUGUGUGCACCAUGUGGGUAAUGGGAAUCGAACCUGGGUCCUCUAUAAGACUGGCCAGUGCUCUUAACUACUGAGGUGCAUUUCUUUCGGAAUUGAUUCACAUAACUAUUAUGCUAUACUGUUUGAAGUAUUUAUUAGAAAAACAUCAGAAAGAGAUUUGGACCACUUUCAUUUACAUGAAGAAAUAUCUUAGGGUUUCUUUUCAGGUAUCUUUGAGUAUCUUCUGACACUAGAAGAUCCUGUAAACUCUACAGACUUCAACAGAAUUGAAGAACCUGGACAGAGCAGAGUUACCAACAAGAGAGCCCAGGGAUAGCAUUAACAUGGUGGUUACUCAAGACCUAACUCAGCCAGGGAGACAUACCAAGGCCUAUGAGGUGAAGGGAAAAGAAGGGUGACCCAAAGGGCAGGAAUUUUUUAUCCUGAACUUUUGAGCCUUAUAGAAAAACAUAAUUUGUUGGGCAUGUUUUCUGACCCUCAUACAGUUUUUACAACCAUUUGAAGAUAUAGUUCUAGCUCUAGUAGGCUCUACAGGAAGGUAUAUCAAACUUUUUAACAGAACACUUUAUUAUUUUAAAUAUAUGAGUAUUUCACCUGCAUAGGCGCACAGUACCCACAGAGACUAGAAGAGGGUGGCAGAUCUCCUGAGACUGGAGUUAAUGCUUGUGAGCUGCCAUGUGGAUGCUGGAAAUCAAACCCAGGUCCUUUGGAAGGCAGGCAGGUGCUCUUAAUCAUGGAAGCAUCUCUUCA